UCAUAUUAAAUUUGUAUGUAAUAGGAUCGUUUGCGUACGUUUGCCGCUAGGGGCGCUGUUCCAACUGCAUACAAAAUUGGCCUA
rnacentral:pre_miRNA from 1 species